UAUUAAAAAAACAAAAAAUUCAAUAAAAUAUGUUUACAAAAAAAAAAAAAAACAAUCCAGUAACCAGACAUCUCAUUCAACUCUCUUCUUUCCCAACAGCUGUUUUCCAAGCUUCAGGUGGUGAAAGAUGGCAUUGAUAAGAUCAAAGAGGAGCGGCAGGAGUUUGAACAGGUCCAGAAAAAGCUGACGCGGGACCUGAAACUAAAGAAGCUGAUCAUCGAGAACUUUAUUCCCCCAGAGGAAAAAUUCAUCAGCACAAUGGUUUUCGAUGAGGAGGAGUAGUGCUGGAAGAAAAACCCUGUAACACAGUGAGUUUCUGUACAUUUGUGCCUUCAUGAGGUUUGUCUUCUGUCUCUGUGAGUUCUUUUGAGGCCAGGAUUGUUUUCAAAGUCAAACCCGGAUGUCUGCUCUGAGCUUUUCUGCGGGAUCAUCUGGAGAGCAUCCAUGUUCUCCUCUUUGCUCCUCAGAGACCACCAGAUGAUGUCCCGGCCUCUGUCGGCUACAGGAGGCCCCUCAGCCGGCACGCUCGCAGGGCCAUGAUGAUGAAGCCCCAUGCCAGAUACAAAGCGGACAACACACUGCUGCUGGAGAUGGACAUGCCCACAAAGACCACCAAAGACUACCAGGCGCCCGUGAUUGCUACCUGGUUGAUCCUGCCAGUAGCAUAUGCUUGUCUCAAAGAUUAAGCCAUGCGGACAACACACUGCUGCUGGAGAUGGACAUGCCCACAAAGACUACCAGGCGCCCGUGACCCCUCCAAAGAUGGCGGCAGCUCUGGAGGACGCCCUCAGAGACGAGGACGAAAUCCAGGUGGACGCCUCAGGUUUUCACAGCAGCCUGGGAGCGGCUUUCCCCGGCGGCAGCCUCAAAAAACCAAAGUCAGGGUAAGACUGCCAUCUCCGCCCGCCGCCGUCACGUCAUGCUCUGACUCCGCUCUCUGUUCCACAGCCGGCCGAGAAUGGGGAGGAAAUCUGGCACUCCGACCUCUCCGUUCAGCCCUUCCAGCCCAGGAAGCCCUCUUUAUCCACAAUCCCGUGGCCCGGUGCCCAAAUGAUGACUUGUAGGACAACUAACAACCCCCCCCUCACCAUUCUGUUACACAUCUGAUCCUCCGGGUGGCGCCACAUCCAGACUGGUCUUAAACGUUCAGUGCAGUAUCGCCGGUGACUUUGUUCUCACUUUAAUAUGAAGCUGAAGGAAAAGGUCUGGUUUCCACAGCGAGCAGUGCUCCGUCUGUUCCCUCUGCGAUGUCGAAACCUUCCUGUAGCGGGCGCUCUCGCCACAAACCUCGCUCUGCUGGAAUCUGGAUCCUCUGUGGAAGACGAUGGAACGAGCCCGUCCGGCUCCUCCGAUGUGCCUCAGGUACAUCAGGGUUCCAAGGUGCCUUAAAUCCAAGUCCUCAAACCUCAUUUCAACGAUGAUUCCUUCCUGAGAUCCCAUCUGGGAAUGCACGCACCUCCACAACAUUCAGGUUUCAGCACAUCCGUCUGUGACGAGCAUCCUCAGACAUCUUUAGAGUAAACCGGUCUCCUUCAGCAGAACUACAACACACAACUGCUGUGUGAGCGUGAGAUGCGGCAGCAGAUGGAGAGUCUGGACGAAGAAACGCUGGGGCUCAAGGAGACCUACAGUUCUCUGCAGCAGGAGGUUUACAUUAAUACCAAGAUGCUGAAGAAGGUAAAGUCCUGGGAUUCCCGUCCUGUGAUGUCGGGGUGGACGUGCACAUGGGAUCACUGCUCUUCACAUCAUACACCCACAAUUCUGCUAUUAACCCUUUAAAGUCCCAAUCCAAGUUGAGCCAGCUAGCAGCUCAGAUGAGGAAAGUUAGAACAAUCAAUCAGAACAAUCAAUCGUUCUGACCCAA
rnacentral:lncRNA from 1 species